AUUGAACGCUGGCGGAAUGCUUUACACAUGCAAGUCGAGCGGCAGCGCGGGGGCAACCCUGGCGGCGAGCGGCGAACGGGUGAGUAACGCAUCGGAACGUACCUUGUAGUGGGGGAUAACUAUCCGGAAGGAUAGCUAAUACCGCAUACGCCCUGAGGGGGAAAGGGGGGGAUCGCAAGACCUCUCGCUACAGGAGCGGCCGAUGUCCGAUUAGCUAGUUGGUGAGGUAAAGGCUCACCAAGGCGACGAUCGGUAGCUGGUCUGAGAGGAUGAUCAGCCACACUGGGACUGAGACACGGCCCAGACUCCUACGGGAGGCAGCAGUGGGGAAUUUUGGACAAUGGGGGCAACCCUGAUCCAGCCAUUCCGCGUGA
rnacentral:rRNA from 1 species